GGUAGCAGGUUUGUUCAUUUUCUUCCGCUAGUCUAUGAUGCAGAUUCUUCAUCUGUUUAGCUGAAUCUGCGUCAGUGUUUCAGUGUUACAGACGAAGGUCUGCAUCAUAGUCAAGAGGAAUGAAAAUACAUUAUAGAUUAU
rnacentral:pre_miRNA from 1 species